rnacentral:rRNA from 1 species
CCUACGGGGGGCAGCAGUGAGGAAUAUUGGUCAAUGGACGCAAGUCUGAACCAGCCAUGCCGCGUGAAGGAAGAAGGCUUUCGGGUUGUAAACUUCUUUUAAGGGGGAAGAGCAGAAGACGGUACCCCUUGCAUAAGCCACGGCUAACUACGUGCCAGCAGCCGCGGUAAUACGUAGGUGGCAAGCGUUGUCCGGAUUUACUGGGUGUAAAGGGCGUGCAGCCGGAGAGGCAAGUCAGAUGUGAAAUCCGCGGGCUCAACUCGCGAACUGCAUUUGAAACUGCUUCCCUUGAGUAUCGGAGAGGUAAUCGGAAUUCUUGGUGUAGGGGUAAAAUCCGUAGAGAUCAAGAGGAAUACUCAUUGCGAAGGCGACCUGCUAGAACAUAACUGACGCUGAUGCGCGAAAGCGUGGGGAGCAAACAGGAUUAGAUACCCUUGUAGUC